AGUGAACGCUGGCGGUAGGCCUAACACAUGCAAGUCGAACGGCAGCACAGUAAGAGCUUGCUCUUACGGGUGGCGAGUGGCGGACGGGUGAGGAAUACAUCGGAAUCUACUUUUUCGUGGGGGACAACGUAGGGAAACUUACGCUAAUACCGCAUACGACCUACGGGUGAAAGCAGUGGAUCUUCGGACCUUUCGCGAUUGAAUGAGCCGAUGUCGGAUUAGCUAGUUGGCGGGGUAAAGGCCCACCAAGGCGACGAUCCGUAGCUGGUCUGAGAGGAUGAUCAGCCACACUGGAACUGAGACACGGUCCAGACUCCUACGGGAGGCAGCAGUGGGGAAUAUUGGACAAUGGGCGCAAGCCUGAUCCAGCCAUACCGCGUGAGUGAAGAAGGCCUUCGGGUUGUAAAGCCCUUUUGUUAGGAAAGAAAAGCAGCAGGUUAAUACCCCGCUGUUCUGACGGUACCCAAAGAAUAAGCACCGGCUAACUUCGUG
rnacentral:rRNA from 1 species